GAGAGGCCCAGGGUUCAGGGGAGAUAUAAAAACAAGGGAGAUAUAAAAACAAGGGAGAUAUAAACAAGGGAGAUAUAAAAACAAGGGAGAUAUAAAAACAAGGGAGAUAUAAACAAGGGAGAUAUAAACAAGGGAGAUAUAAAGAAAGAAGAAACAGGACUGAAUAAACGUGUGCAGAAGGAUCCUGUUGCAGCAUCGUUCUUCCUGGCGAGUUGGGGGCGCGCUCGAGAGGAGGAAACUGAGACAUUAUCGAGAAUCCAAACACUAAAUACAUGCCACCCCAAUAGACCACUUUCAUACCUGGAAUAUGCUGUUGACAUAGGAAAUCUGGGAACACAACAUUUAAACCUGCUUAUUCAGGCACCAAAACCUUCAGCUUGAUUUCCAUUAAGUAUUGAUGCUGUUGACAACUUUUUCAAUGACAGACUGCUAAGCACAUCGACUGUUCUCAGCAACUUUCCUGAGAGUUUGGUUUCUGUCCAACAAGAACAUGAAUCUUCCUUCUUCAUAGUCUAUAAUGAGAGGUGUGUUGGUGUAUCCAGUACUUGCUGUGGUGGGAGUACUGAGUUCUGAUGAUGCUGAGUGGUCUUGGAUUCU
rnacentral:lncRNA from 1 species